rnacentral:lncRNA from 12 species
AGGAAGGUGGGGCUUUACUGGGGGCAAGUAAAGGAGAGUGAGAAACCACCAGUGCAAACAGAGGUACAGGAGUUCUGAACAGAAAUGAACUACCAUAAGAGCACGUUAUUUCCAUUUACAUCCCUCAGCUAUCCAGUUUCAUUCCCAUUUCCUG